rnacentral:tRNA from 1 species
CGUUUUGGAGCCCCGUCCACCUUCAGGUAAUGUUCUUCCUGCGCCGAGGGGAGCGGGCCGGAAGGCCGGAGC